rnacentral:misc_RNA from 1 species
GACGAUAGCUUUUCUGGGGUUU